GGGGAUGUAGCUCAAUUGGUUAGAGCGCCGGCCUGUCACGUCGGAGGUCGCGGGUUCGAGUCCCGUCGUUCCCGC
rnacentral:tRNA from 1 species